GAUGAACGCUGGCGGCGUGCCUAAUACAUGCAAGUCGAGCGAACAGACGAGGAGCUUGCUCCUCUGACGUUAGCGGCGGACGUGUGAGUAACAUGUGGAUAACCUACCUAUAAGACUGGGAUAACUUCGGGAAACCGGAGCUAAUACCGGAUAAUAUAUUGAACCGCAUGGUUCAAUAGUGAAAGACGGUUUUGCUGUCACUUAUAGAUGGAUCCGCGCUGCAUUAGCUAGUUGGUAAGGUAACGGCUUACCAAGGCAACGAUGCGUAGCCGACCUGAGAGGGUGAUCGGCCACACUGGAACUGAGACACGGUCCAGACUCCUACGGGAGGCAGCAGUAGGGAAUCUUCCGCAGUGGGCGGAAGCUUGACGGAGCAACGCCACGUGAGUGAAGAAGGUCUUCGGAUCGUAAAACUCUGUUAUUGGGGAAGAACAAAUGUGUAAGGAACUAUGCACGUCUUGACGGUACCUAAUCAGAAAGCCACGGCUAACUACGUG
rnacentral:rRNA from 1 species